rnacentral:lncRNA from 1 species
AGGCUCCUGGCCGGGCGGGCCCACUGCGUUGACUGCCGUCAUCUGAAACCCAGCCAGGGACAGACAGGAGGGCGGCGCUGAGGUCUGGCCCAGGCAGGAGCUCACUGUCUCCUUAUUCCAUUGUGACAGGCCCAGGGGACCAGAACGCAGGCCCCUAACAUGCACAGAACCACCACAAGGACUCGGGCCAAGACCUCCCUGUGGCCUCAGUCAGUUUUUCUUAAAGAAAAGAGGUCUGUCUGGGCUCGUGGUUUUGGAGGCUGGAGGCUGGGCUGCCACGUUAGGUGGCUCCAUCUGGCCAGCUUUGGGUGAGGUCCCCCCACCGGGUCAACUGUGGCAAAGGAGAGGAUGGGAAGCGGUGGGGAGAGCCGAGGGCCAGGUCUGCUCUCCCAGGAAACCACUCGGUGGGCACCAGCCUGUCCCUGAGGCCAGCGUGCUCCUGCGAGGACCGAGCUCUCCUGACCCGAGACCCUGUCCUCCAACACGCUCCCACCCAUGAGCUGAGGACCACGCAGCC